rnacentral:rRNA from 1 species
GAUGAACGCUGGCGGCGUGCCUAAUACAUGCAAGUCGAGCGAACAGAUGAGGAGCUUGCUCCUCUGACGUUAGCGGCGGACGGGUGAGUAACACGUGGAUAACCUACCUAUAAGACUGGGAUAACUUCGGGAAACCGGAGCUAAUACCGGAUAAUAUAUUGAACCGCAUGGUUCAAUAGUGAAAGACGGUUUUGCUGUCACUUAUAGAUGGAUCCGCGCCGCAUUAGCUAGUUGGUAAGGUAACGGCUUACCAAGGCAACGAUGCGUAGCCGACCUGAGAGGGGGUCCGCCCCCACUGGAACAGAGACCCGCCCCAGCCCCCAGGGGGAGGCACAAGGGGGAAAUUUCCCGAAAGGGGAAAAGCCCUGACGGACCAGCGCGGGGUGAUGAAGAAAGGUUUCCGUAUCUAAAACCUUUUUUAUUAGGAAAAAAAAAUUGUGAAAGUAAUUUUGCACUUCUGGCGGUUCCCUAAUAGGAAACCCACGCCAAGCUACGUC